GACGAACGCUGGCGGCGUGCUUAACACAUGCAAGUCGAACGAAGUGGCGCACGGGUGAGUAACGCGUAAUCAACCUGCUCUUCAGAGGGGUACAACAGUUGGAAACGACUGCUAAUACCGCAUACUGCAGUAGGUGGUUGCGUAGGAUUAGCUGGUGGGAGGGGUAACGGCCCCCCAAGGCGAGGAUGAGUGGCCGGGUUGAGAGGAUGAACGGCCAAACUGGGACUGGGACACGGCCCAGACUCCUACGGGAGGCAGCAGUGGGGAAACUUCCGCAAUGGACGAAAGUCUGACGGAGCAACGCCGCGGGAGUGAUGAGGGCCUUCGGGUUGUAAAGCUCUGUUAAUCGGGACGCGGUACCGGAAUAGAAAGCAACGGCUAACUACGUGCCAGCAGCCGCGGUAAUUC
rnacentral:rRNA from 1 species